rnacentral:rRNA from 1 species
GGAUAAUAUUUUGAACCGCAUGGUUCAAAAGUGAAAGACGGUCUUGCUGUCACUUAUAGAUGGAUCCGCGCUGCAUUAGCUAGUUGGUAAGGUAACGGCUUACCAAGGCAACGAUGCAUAGCCGACCUGAGAGGGUGAUCGGCCACACUGGAACUGAGACACGGUCCAGACUCCUACGGGAGGCAGCAGUAGGGAAUCUUCCGCAAUGGGCGAAAGCCUGACGGAGCAACGCCGCGUGAGUGAUGAAGGUCUUCGGAUCGUAAAACUCUGUUAUUAGGGAAGAACAUAUGUGUAAGUAACUGUGCACAUCUUGACGGUACCUAAUCAGAAAGCCACGGCUAACUACGUGCCAGCAGCCGCGGUAAUACGUAGGUGGCAAGCGUUAUCCGGAAUUAUUGGGCGUAAAGCGCGCGUAGGCGGUUUUUUAAGUCUGAUGUGAAAGCCCACGGCUCAACCGUGGAGGGUCAUUGGAAACUGGAAAACUUGAGUGCAGAAGAGGAAAGUGGAAUUCCAUGUGUAGCGGUGAAAUGCGCAGAGAUAUGGAGGAACACCAGUGGCGAAGGCGACUUUCUGGUCUGUAACUGACGCUGAUGUGCGAAAGCGUGGGGAUCAAACAGGAUUAGAUACCCUGGUAGUCCACGCCGUAAACGAUGAGUGCUAAGUGUUAGGGGGUUUCCGCCCCUUAGUGCUGCAGCUAACGCAUUAAGCACUCCGCCUGGGGAGUACGACCGCAAGGUUGAAACUCAAAGGAAUUGACGGGGACCCGCACAAGCGGUGGAGCAUGUGGUUUAAUUCGAAGCAACGCGAAGAACCUUACCAAAUCUUGACAUCCUUUGACAACUCUAGAGAUAGAGCUUUCCCCUUCGGGGGACAAAGUGACAGGUGGUGCAUGGUUGUCGUCAGCUCGUGUCGUGAGAUGUUGGGUUAAGUCCCGCAACGAGCGCAACCCUUAAGCUUAGUUGCCAUCAUUAAGUUGGGCACUCUAAGUUGACUGCCGGUGACAAACCGGAGGAAGGUGGGGAUGACGUCAAAUCAUCAUGCCCCUUAUGAUUUGGGCUACACACGUGCUACAAUGGACAAUACAAAGGGCAGCGAAACCGUGAGGUCAAGCAAAUCCCAUAAAGUUGUUCUCAGUUCGGAUUGUAGUCUGCAACUCGACUACAUGAAGCUGGAAUCGCUAGUAAUCGUAGAUCAGCAUGCUACGGUGAAUACGUUCCCGGGUCUUGUACACACCGUCCGUCACACCACGAGAGUUUGUAACACCCGAAGCCGGUGGAGUAACCUUUUAGGAGCUAGCCGUCGAAGGUGGGACAAAUGAUUGGGGUGAAGUCGUAACAAGGUAGCCGUAUCGGAAGGUGCGGCUGGAUCACCUCCUUU